GGCUCUGGCAUCGAUGAAGAACGCAGCGAAAUGCGAUAAGUAAUGCGAAUUGCAGAUUUCAGUGAAUCAUCGAAUCUUUGAACGCACAUUGCACCCGGCGGCACUCCGCCGGGUAUGCCUGUCCGAGCGUCGUUUCCACCACUCGAGCCCCCGGGCUCGGCGUU
rnacentral:rRNA from 1 species